rfam:Xiphophorus maculatus strain JP 163 A Contig215.24, whole genome shotgun sequence.
CCUUCGAUAGCUCAGUUGGUAGAGCGGAGGACUGUAGAGGCUUGACGCUGAAAUCCUUAGGUCGCUGGUUCGAAUCCGGCUCGAAGGA